rnacentral:rRNA from 1 species
UACGGAGGGUGCAAGCGUUGCUCGGAAUUAUUGGGCGUAAAGGGUAGGUAGGUGGUCUCAUUUGUCUGGGGUGAAAGCCUUGAGCUUAACUCAAGAAGUGCCCCAGAAACGGUGAGACUGGAAUCCUGGAGAGGGUCGUGGAAUUCCCGGUGUAGCGGUGAAAUGCGUAGAGAUCGGGAGGAACACCAGAGGCGAAAGCGGCGACCUGGACAGGUACUGACACUCAACUACGAAAGCGUGGGGAGCAAACAGG